GUGUGAAUAAAUCUGAUGUAUUCAUCAAUUCUUUAAAUUUUAAAACAUUUGGGUUUUUACAUAUAUCUAAAGGUAAAAAUUUAGCUCUAACAUUGUUGAAAAAGGUACAUUUGAAUAAGUAAUGGAACUCAUCACCAAGUUCAUUAGCAUUACAAAGAUUACAAUGUCUUUCAGAUCUAUCAAUAUUAAAAAAUCUCCCCAUUUCAAUGGGCAAUUUAUUACUAAGGCAACGGAAUUUACAUAAAUACAUUCUUAGAUCAGAUGGUAACACAGUUAAAUAUUUCUCAAAAC
rnacentral:lncRNA from 1 species